rnacentral:rRNA from 1 species
UGCGUAGGUGGUUUUAUAAGUUAUCUGUGAAAAUCCUGGGCUUAACCUGGGGCUGUCAGAUAAGACUGUGAGACUCGAGUAUGGGAGAGGGUAGUGGAAUUUCCGGUGUAGCGGUGAAAUGCGUAGAGAUCGGAAGGAACACCAGUGGCGAAGGCGGCUACCUGGCCUAAUACUGACACUGAGGCACGAAAGCGUGGGGAGCAAACA